rnacentral:rRNA from 1 species
UACGGAGGGUGCAAGCGUUAUCCGGAUUCACUGGGGUUAAAGGGUGCGUAGGAGGGCAGGUAAGUCAGUGGUGAAAUCUCCAAGCUUAACUUGGAAACUGCCGUUGAUACUAUCUGUCUUGAAUAUUGUGGAGGUGAGCGGAAUAUGUCAUGUAGCGGUGAAAUGCUUAGAUAUGACAUAGAACACCAAUUGCGAAGGCAGCUGGCUACUCAUAUAUUGACACUGAGGCACGAAAGCGUGGGGAUCAAACAGG